rnacentral:rRNA from 1 species
GCGUAGGGCCAUACUAGGCAGAAUGCACCGCUUCUCGUCAGAUCAGCGAAGUUAAGCUGCCUCAGGCCGGGUUAGUACUUGGGAGGGAGACCACCUGGGAACCCCCGGUGUCCUACGCU